GGCCCGCUAGCUCAAUUGGUAGAGCAGCAGACUCUUAAUCUGCGGGUUGUAGGUUCGAGUCCUACGCGGGUCA
rnacentral:tRNA from 4 species